rnacentral:rRNA from 1 species
GAUGAACGCUGGCGGCGUGCCUAAUACAUGCCAGUCGAGCGAACAGACGAGGAGCUUGCUCCUCUGACGUUAGCGUCGGACUUGUGAGUAACACGUUGAUAACCUACCUAUAAGACUUGGAUAACUUCGGGAAACCGGAGCUAAUACCGGAUAAUAUAUUGAACCGCAUGGUUCAAUAGUGAAAGACGGUUUUGCUGUCACUUAUAGAUGGAUCCGCGCCGCAUUAGCUAGUUGGUAAGGUAACGGCUUACCAAGGCAACGAUGCGUAGCCGAAAUGAUAGGGUGAUAGGAAACACUGGAAGUGAGAAAAGGUAAAGACUCCUACGGGAGGCAGCAGUAGGGAAUAUUCCGCAAUGGGCGAAAGCCUGACGGAGCAACGCCGCGUGAGUGAUGAAGGUCUUAGGAUAGUAAAACUCUGUUAUUAGGGAAGAACAAAUGUGUAAGUAACUAUGCACGUCUUGACGGUACCUAAUCAGAAAGCCACGGCUAACUACGUG